rnacentral:rRNA from 1 species
CCUACGGGGGGCUGCAGUGAGGAAUAUUGGUCAAUGGACGAGAGUCUGAACCAGCCAAGUAGCGUGAAGGAUGACUGCCCUAUGGGUUGUAAACUUCUUUUAUCAAGGAAUAAAACGCGGCACGUGUGCCUUUUUGCAUGUACUUUAUGAAUAAGGAUCGGCUAACUCCGUGCCAGCAGCCGCGGUAAUACGGAGGAUCCGAGCGUUAUCCGGAUUUAUUGGGUUUAAAGGGAGCGUAGAUGGGUUGUUAAGUCAGUGGUGAAAGUUUGCGGCGCAACCGUAACAUUGAAAUUGAUACUGGCAGUCUUGAGUGCAGUGGAGGUAGGCGGAAUUCGUGGUGUAGCGGUGAAAUGCUUAGAUAUCACGAAGAACCCCGAGUGCGAAGGCAGCUUACUAAACUGUGACUGACAUUGAUGCUCGAAAGUGUGGGGAUCAAACAGGAUUAGAUACCCGAGUAGUC